rnacentral:rRNA from 1 species
CACGAAGCCGGAAUCGCUAGUAAUCGCAGAUCAGCAUGCUGCGGUGAAUACGUUCCCGGGUCUUGUACACACCGCCCGUCACACCAUGGGAGCCGGGAAUGCCCGAAGUCAGCGGCCUAACCGCAAGGAGGGAGCUGCCGAAGGCAGGCCUGGUGACUGGGGUGAAGUCGUAACAAGGUAAC